GAUGAACGCUGGCGGCGUGCCUAAUACAUGCAAGUCGAGCGAACAGACGAGGAGCUUGCUCCUCUGACGUUAGCGGCGGACGGGUGAGUAACACGUGGAUAACCUACCUAUAAGACUGGGAUAACUUCGGGAAACCGGAGCUAAUACCGGAUAAUAUAUUGAACCGCAUGGUUCAAUAGUGAAAGACGGUUUUGCUGUCACUUAUAGAUGGAUCCGCGCCGCAUUAGCUAGUUGGUAAGGUAACGGCUUACCAAGGCAACGAUGCGUAGCCGACCUGAGAGGGUGGGAGCCAACGCGGAAACGGAACCCGGGUCCAGACCCCUGGGGGGGGCAGAGGAAGGGAAUUUUCAGCAAGGGAGAAAAGCGUGAGGGACCGGCGCGGGGUGAGUAAUGAGGGUCUUGGGAUCGAAAACUUUUGUUAUGGGGGAAAAACAAAUGUGAAAGUAACUAUGCACGCCUUAGGGGUACCUAAUCAAAAGGCCCGGGCUAACUCGGGC
rnacentral:rRNA from 1 species